rnacentral:rRNA from 1 species
GACGAACGCUGGCGGCGUGCUUAACACAUGCAAGUGGAGCGACGAACCAGGGCUUGCCCUGGGGCAAAGCCGCGAACGGGUGAGUAACACGUGGGUAACCUGCCCCGAUGACCGGGACAACCCGAGGAAACUCGGGCUAAUACCGGAUGAGCUCACGCCACAUCAGUGGCAUGAGGAAAGGAAGCUUCGGCCUCCGCAUUGGGAUGGGCCCGCGGCCCAUUAGCUUGUUGGUGGGGAAAGGCCUACCAAGGCUUCGAUGGGUAGCUGGUCUGAGAGGACGAUCAGCCACACUGGGACUGAGACACGGCCCAGACUCCUACGGGAGGCAGCAGUGGGGAAUCUUGCGCAAUGCGCGAAAGCGUGACGCAGCAACGCCGCGUGCGGGAAGACGG